AAAACUAAGAACUCUGCAUGCUUGUGACAUACAACAUGAAAGCUAAGAACACAAAGUUAUGCAUUGAUCAAGAACUCUUGGUGAAGUUGGUUUUAUGUACAAGUAAUGGAAAACUCAUAAAAACUGCGAUGCCUUGGUAACUUCUGUGUACUUAUGCUGCAGGUACCAACAUAUGUAAAGUUCCAUUUUUACUUUUUCAUUUGUUUCAACGAGUGAUGUUUGUUUCUGAUGUAUUUUCUA
rnacentral:lncRNA from 1 species